AACGAACGCUGGCGGCAUGCCUAACACAUGCAAGUCGAACGAGACCUUCGGGACUAGUGGCGCACGGGUGCGUAACGCGUGGGAACCGGGCCUUAGGCUCCGAAAUAUACCCCGACAGGGGGGCUAAUACCGGGAAACGUACUCGGAUAAAAGAUUGAACGACCUUGUAAGGGCGCGCGAUGGUCUAACCUGUUGGUAGGGUAAAAGCCGACCAAGGCGUGGAUACAUAGCUGGGUUGAGAGGAAGAGAAGCCACACUGGGGCGGGGACGCGGCCCAGAAUCCUACGGGAGGCGGCAGUGGCGGAUAUUGGACUAUCGGCGAAAGCCUGAUCCAGUACUGCCGCGUGAGUGAUGAAGUCCUUAGGGUUGUAAAGCUCUUUUACCCGGGAUUAUACUGACAGUACCGGGAGAAUAAGCACCGGCUAACUCCGUG
rnacentral:rRNA from 1 species